AGCCUGCACAGGCAGACCGCUACACGGCGGGCAGCGGCAGAAUAAGUUGGAAGUGGGCGCAAAGAAGAGGGCUUCUGGCCUGACCCAAAGCACCUGCGAUGCGCGAUGGAGACAUUUUCCCAGCAUAUACCCAGGAUCAGGAGGAACUUAAGAAUCUACAUUCACCUGAAAAUACCGGUUGAAUUUCUGGAUUUUGAGUUAAGAUCACAUAGGUGGUAAAAGUGGUGGUUCUAGGAUUCAAGCCCAGCUCUACGGUGUCAGGGUCCAUGUUCCUGCACCCAUCAUUCACUCAGCCAGACCAGACUGCUGCUGCUCCCUGGGCACUUUCUGUAUGCCCCACCUCUGUGCCUUGGUUUUGGAUGGUCUCUGCCCCAGGACACUCAGCAAGGAUGUUUACUCAGCACUGGGCACCCAUCUGGAAAGAUCGCAAAGAGGAACCAACCUUAGAGGAGUCCAAAGAGAUAAGAAAAAGCUCAAAUGUAGGAGAAUUCUUCAACAUGUUAAUAGAGAAUGGAAUUAAAUGAGUUUGU